rnacentral:rRNA from 1 species
CCCGACACGGGGAGGUAGUGACAAUACAUAACAAUGCAGGGCCUUUAAGGUCUUGCAAUUGGAAUGAGUACAAUUUAAAUCCCUUAACGAGGAUCAAUUGGAGGGCAAGUCUGGUGCCAGCAGCCGCGGUAAUUCCAGCUCCAAUAGCGUAUAUUAAAGUUGUUGCAGUUAAAACGUCCGUAGUCAAACUUUAGUCUUAUCGACGUGAUGGCCUGGUCUUCAUUGACCAAGCUCGUUAUGAUCGGAGACUCCAUGUUCAUUGGAUCUCUAGCUUCGGUUAGGGCUUUUUUUGAACAAUUACCAUGAGCAAAUCAGAGUGUUUAAAGCAGGCUUUUAAGCUUGAAUGUGUUAGCAUGGAAUAAUGAAAUAUGACUUUAGUCCUAUUUUCGUUGGUUUAGGUACUUCAGUAAUGAUGAAUAGAAACGGUUAGGGGCAUUUGUAUUUGGUCGCUAGAGGUGAAAUUCUUGGAUUGACCGAAGACAAACUACUGCGAAAGCAUUUGACCCGGGACGUUUUCAUUGAUCAAGGUCUAAAGUUAAGGGAUCGAAGACGAUUAGAUACCGUCGUAGUCUUAACCACAAACUAUGCCGACUAGAGAUUGGGCGUGUUUAUUAUGACUCGCUCAGCAUCUUAGCGAAAGUAAAGUUUUUGGGUUCUGGGGGGAGUAUGGGACGCAAGGCU